UAGCCUAACGGCUGAACCAGCAACUUGGAGGAAUGAAUAGCAAUAGCUAAUUGCAUCAGUUGCAGUAUCGAUUUUAUCGAAUAAAAUUCUAGGUAGAAUUAUGAUGAUGACAUUGUCUACCUAUGUGUCUUGACCAAAUUACGUGCCAGCAGUCGCGGUAAUACGUAGAAGACUAGUGUUAUUCAUCUUUAAUAGGUUUAAAGGGUACCUAGACGGUGAAUCAAGCCUGUAGGGACUAAUUUACUAGAGUUACUUGUGAGGGGGCAUUAAAGUACUGCUGGUGUAGAGAUGAAAUUCUAUAAUACCUUUUCCUCAAGAAAUAAUGGCACAGGUAUAGGCGAAAGCAUCCCCUUAUGUGAUAGCUUUGUGUAGCAAACAGGAUUAGAUACCCUGGUAGUCGAAGCAGAAAAUGAUGAAUGUCAUAGAUUAGUUUAUUCUAUAAAUGAAAGUGUAAGCAUUCCACCUCGAGAGUAAUUUGGCAACAUUGGAACUGAAAUCAUUAGACCGUUUCUGAAACCAGUAGUGAAGUAUGUUGUUUAAUUUGAUACUCCGCAAAGAACCUUACCAUGAAUAUUUACAAGCGUUGCACGGCUGUCUUCAGUUAAUGUCGCGAGACUUUGGUUAGAUCCAUUAAAUUAACGCAAACCCUUACUUUAUUUUUACAUAAAGUAGUUCCCCACUAGAUUGGAUAAGAUAACAGGGACUAAGACAAGUCAUCAUGGCCUUAAUAUUAUAGACCUUACAAAAGGAUGUGAAAUUGUGAAAUUGAACUAAUCCCCCAAAAAUGGAUAUACAC
rnacentral:rRNA from 1 species